CGACGUGGAUAAGGCAUGCAAGUCGAACGGUUGUAGCAAUACAACAGUGGCGAACGGGUUAGUAACACGUAGAUAUCAACCCUUUACUCGGGCAUAACCUGGAGAAAUCUAGGCUAAUUCCCGAUAGUCCGGAAACGGUAAAGAUUUUUCGGUAAAGGAUGAGUCUGCGUCCUAUCAGCUAGUUGGUGAGGUAAUGGCUCACCAAGGCAAUGACGGGUAGGCGGAGUGAGAGCUUGACCGCCAACAAUGGCACUGGAACAUGGGCCAUACUCCUACGGGAGGCAGCAGUCGAGAAUAUUUGACAAUGGGCGAAAGCCUGAUCAAGCGACGUCGCGUGUGGGAUUAAGAUCUUCGGAUUGUAAACCACUUUUCUAGGGGAAGAACUUUGACUGUACCCUAGGAAUAAGGGGUGACUAAACUCGUGCCAGCAGUAGCGGUAAUACGAGUGCCCCAAGCGUUAUCCGGAUUUAUUGGGCGUAAAGGGUCUGUAGGUGGUUUGUUAAGUUUCUCGUUAAAGCUCCAGGGCUUAACCUUGGAAAAGCGGGAAAAACUGGCAAACUAGAGGAUGUUAGAGGCUGAUGGAACACUUGGUGAAGGGGUGGAAUCCGUUGAUAUCAAGUGGAACACCGAAAGCGAAGGCAAUCAGCUGGGACAGUCCUGACACUGAAAGACGAAAGCGUGGGGAGAGAAAAGGAUUAGAUACCCUUGUAUUCCACGCCUUAAACGAUGAAUACUGGCUAUUGCAAGUGUCGACCCUUGCAGUGGCGAAGCUAACGCGUUAAGUGUUCCGCCUGGGAAGUACGGCCGCAAGGCUAAAACUCAAAGGAAUAGACGGGGACUUGCACAAGCAGUGGAUUAUGUGGUUUAAUUCGAUGGUAAACGAAGAACCUUACCAGGGUUAGAAAUCAACGUGAAAUCCCGUGGAAACAUGGGACCUCGCAAGACUAGUUGACAGGUGAUGCAUGGCCGUCGUCAGUUCGUGGUUUGAAUUGUACCCUUAAGUGGGCUAACGAACGCAACCCUCGUUGUGUGUUACAAGUGUCACACGAGACUGCCCCCACCUAAGUUUUUAAACGAAAGUUUGAAAUUUUAGGUGGGGGAGGAAGGAGAGGAUGACGCCAGGUCAGCAUGUCCCUUGAUACCCUGGGCUACACACGUAAUACAAUGGUCACUACAAAGGGCUGCAAUACCGUAAGGUGGAGCCAAUCCCAAAAAGUGGCCUCAGUUCAGAUUGAGGUCUGAAACUCGACCUCAUGAAGUUGGAAUUGCUAGUAAUCGCGGGUCAGAUAUACCGCGGUGAAUACGUUCUCAAGUCUUGUACUCACCGCCCGUCAAUUCAAGGGAGCCGGUAGCACCCGAAGUCUGCACAUCGUGUGGCCUAAGGUGAGAUUGGUGACAGGGAAUAAGUCGUAACAAGGCACGG
rnacentral:rRNA from 1 species